GAUGCCGAAGGUGCGCCUGCCUGCCUCUCCAGUCUAGCAAACUGCUUUCGAGGAUCACAAGAUAAUGGACGUAUGAUACCAUGGAUAAUUUUAAAGUGUUUUAGAAGUAAGUUGUUACUCAUUCUGGAAAGGUGAAGAGAGGAUCUGACUGAAGUUUGUAAAUUGUGGAACACCAGUACCAGAGAAUGAUAAACAUGUGCGGAGAGUGGGAGAGAACUGUUGCCAAGGAGCUGAAUGUGAACUAAUGAACCCUGACACUGGAGUGUGAUAUUAAGUAUGCUUUAUACCAGAAGAAGAAAGACCCCUCCUCAGUAGGGGGGUGAGAAAGUGAGGAUCAGCGUGGCAGCAAGCUAAAAAUCCCCGGCCCAGAACCCUCUCCUGACCUUUUCUCAGCUGUCUGAGGCCGUGGCAUUCAGACUAUCCAGUUCCCGGACCUCCUCUUCACGUCUUCACCCCCUCACUGACCUGUCCUCGAGCUGGCCGCAGCCGCAGCCCCAGUUCCACCUCUGCACGCAGCCCGACCAGCCACAGCUGCACUUGGUUGGUGGACCCUGAGAAGGCAAAGCUCCCAGUGGCUACGCGUAUGCGGUAGCGACCCAUCUCAUGGAGGCUUUGGCAGCUUUGAGAAGAGAAAGGGGAAAGUUGCCCAGAGCCCUGCCGCUGCUGUCCAGGAAUCCAAAUCUUUCCUAAAACGGCUGAGCACAGCCAGCGUCCCAGAGUUUGAGAAGUAUUCUUUGUGCUGUCCCCGGGGGAACCUGAGCCAGAUAGCAAAAGUAUAUCAGCCCAAAAGACUAGCAAAAAGUUCCCUAAAGGGAUCUUAGAUUUAAAGCCUUCCUUCUGGUCCAGUUCUCCUCCCCUCCCCUACCCCACCCCUCACUGGUCCAGCCAGUCCCUCCUCAUUUCCAAGAAUAAACUCAGACUCAGAGGACUUGUCCAAGACCACAGAAGUACCAAGUUGAGCCCAUAACUCAUUCCAAACAUAGCAUUUGUCAGUAAACAUUAAGUGUCAGACACUAUGCUAAAAACACCGGAAUUGCAAAAAGGCAAAAGAUACUCAAGUCCAGGAACUCAUAAUCUAGCAGUGGAAACAAGUAAGCAAAUAUGUACAGGAUAAAUCGGAUAUAAUUAACAGAAUGAAAGCACUAAGAUUAAGAAUGGCUGGGAAGGCUUUCUGUAGAAGAUAGCAUUUUAGUUGGGAAAUUAGUUGAAGAAAUUAGUUGAAGAAAUUCAGGACAUGAAGAGGGAGAGUAUUCCAGGCCUCAGGAACAGCCAGAGAAAAUGCCUGGACCUUACACUAUCUUGUCCAUGGAACAGCAAGGAUGCCAGUGUAACUCUAUGUGGUAGAAAACAUGGUGUAAGAAGACUGGAAAUAUGGGAGUGAAGAGACCCAAGUUAAGCAAGGAUUUUCUGUUUGAUCCUGGAGGU